rnacentral:misc_RNA from 1 species
AAGUCGUAACAAGGUUUCCGUAGGUGAACCUGCGGAAGGAUCAUUAUCGAGAGAGGGGCUUCGCGCUCCCGGGGGUUUCGGCCCCCAACUCUUCACCCAUUGUCAACUUACCCUUGUUGCUUUGGCGGAUUCCGGGGUAUGUCUUGCGUAGGUUGUCAUAAACCCGUGCAGACGAUGUGCCCCGGCGCCCCGCCGGCAGGCCCAUUAAAAUGCCUUGAUUUAUCUAGUGAUGUCCGAGUAAAAAACCAAUAAUAAAAA